UUAUUUGGAAAUGGAACUAAACUGGAAGCUGAUCAAACAGCAAGUUCUGUGUUAGUUAUUGUGUUGGUGGUAGCAAUCAUCUGCUUGGCCAUUUCUAUGAUUAUAAAUCUAAUUUUCAUCUGUUGUGGAACUCAGAAAGGACUAUGUGGACAACAUGAAGCGACAAAAAGCAGCUCUUCACCAGCCAGACAAGACGAUGUGAGCCAACCAGUUAAAGAUAAAG